rnacentral:ncRNA from 1 species
ACGUGAUAAAGGCAAACCCGGCGAAAGCCGGUGACGCAAAGCCACCGGCCUAAGGUGCCCCUGUAGGGGGUGCGAUGGCAGCGGGGCUACCGCA